CUCCCAGCAGAACAAAGCUUAUUGUUUGUCCAGAUGGUGUUUCUAUCAGUCUCUAGACCAAAUCAGUAAGGAAGCAACGCUCACUUCAAGAAUUAACGAGGAAAAUAAAAGUUUGCCUUUCCUGGGAAAGGAAUAUAAUGAGCAAUUUAUCAUCUAACAAUAAGGCUUAGGUAAAUAAAUGCCAGUCAUGAGCCUAUGACUCUUAAAGAACCAGGUCAAGUGAACUCCAUGCCCCAAGUAAUCCCCAAACCAGGUGAUUCCAGCUCUUUAGGCUCCUUUCCCAAAAUCUGGUACAUCAGCUUCCUGGAUCUGGCUGGAAGGAGCUGAGACUGUUGGAAUUUGGCCUGGGGGAUUUCAUCACAGGGCCUCAGGGCAUGGACUGCAUAUGAUUUCUGUAUAUAUGAUGAGACUCAGCCUGAAAGUGGAUUCCAAGUAUUGGGCAAUCUCUCUUCAACUGCCUUCCCAAAGGGUAUUUUUACUCUACUUUUUACCUGCAUUCAAUGGGCCACCCUUCCCCAUAUUCACUAGACGUGGCAUAUUCAUGAAAGGAAGGCAUCUCUUGGAAGUGAUGGGAGGCAACAUUCCUGAAGAGUCUGCUGACAGGUAAGGGCUUUUCAGGACACAAUGCUAAACCUAUUUUUCUUAAAAGCCUAAAAUAUCCUAACAACAAGAAAGAAACCCCGUAAUAGCUCAUACUUUGGGGAUUUCCAUGUUGCUUUUUUUUUUCCCCAUGAAAGAUACAUGACAUUGUACUCAGAAUUGGCACUUGCAUUGUUAUAAGAACACUGACUCACUACCUCCUCUCAUUAAGGCCUCAGGAAUUCUGAGAUGAUGGAUUUUUCUCUACUGAAAACCACCGGCCCUCGUGAGGCCCCCAAUGCUCUACUAUUUGGAUAAGAAACUUGUGAACAUUUUGCAAAUUAAAAGAAAAAGCCAUAGGAAAAAAGUAGUUUUAAAGUACUGUAGUUCAUUUCAAUGAAUUCAACCAAGAUGCACAAAUCGAUUCACACAGCCACACUGGGAUGUAAGUGGAAAUCCCACUGUCACUCCAUCUGUGUGAAGACUUCCUAAUGCACUUCCAAACCUGCUGCCUCACAUUAACUUCCCAAAGUCCAGAAAAGAUGGGCUGAACAGU